UCCCUGGUGGUCCAGUGGGUAAGACUUCAUGCUUGCAAUGCAGAGGGCCUGGGUUCGAUCCCUGGUCAGGGAA